rnacentral:rRNA from 1 species
GAUCCUGGCUCAGAUUGAACGCUGGCGGCAGGCCUAACACAUGCAAGUCGAACGGUAACAGGAAGCAGCUUGCUGCUUCGCUGACGAGUGGCGGACGGGUGAGUAAUGUCUGGGAAACUGCCUGAUGGAGGGGGAUAACUACUGGAAACGGUAGCUAAUACCGCAUAACGUCGCAAGACCAAAGAGUGGGACCUUCGGGCCUCUUGCCAUCGGAUGUGCCCAGAGUGGGAUUAGCUUAGG